rnacentral:lncRNA from 1 species
GGCAAACACAGACAGUUUCUAGUUGCAAGAUAUCCCCCAUGGCAGAGAAAAAAAAAAGUUUCUUCUGGGAUGCAGACAAUCCAGGAAUCAGUGAUAAUCCACUGACCUUUCUAGGAAGUAAGAGCAAAGAACAAACAGGUUAGAUUCUGAGAAGCUGUUUCUAAGUUUGAUGGUUUUUUUUUUCCUAAGCCUGAGGCACUGAGAAGGGUUCAAGCUUGUAUUCUCCAGAUGCAAGCCAACCUAUUGCUGCAACUGACAAAUGAGUAUAAUACUGACACAAAUGUGGGCUGUUUUUGUUUGUGUGUGAAGACAUAUGUCAGAACUCCACUCAUCUGUCAAUGAUGGUGCAAAUAAAGCCCGAUUUCCACUGGCAGCUAUUAUAACCAGGAGAGGAUCCUGCCUUUGGCUAAGGCCAGCGGAAAGGAAGGCAAAUGGAGAGACACAAAGAGCCUGAAUCUUUGAGCCAUCACUCAGUUGCGAUCAAACUGCCUGGAACCCACCCCACCCCGAUCGCCUGCUCGGACAAAAAUAACUGAAGCUCCCAUUGUUCAAACCAGCUUGUGUCAUGGUUUCUGAUGUUUAUAACUAAGACCAAUUCAAACAAUACAAUAUUUUAAAUCUUUAUUAUUUUUUAAGGAAACAAUAGCUUAAGGGUAAAAACUCAUCUCUAAUUGUAAAAAAAAAUUAUCUCUAAUUGUAGGCUUUUGAAGUUAGGGUCGGUCAGUAUUUUUAGAUAGAAUCUUUCAAAACUCAGGAGAGAGACUCAGCUUAUUUCAUGUGUAUGAUGAGGAUGUCUCCUUUAUUCUUUUUCCUGCUAUCACACUUAUGCCAGGCUUUCUUUCAAAACUUAACUCACCCAGCUCCUUGUCUUUGAAGCCUUCUUUUAAUUCUUCUCCCACAUUCCCCAAAACCAAGUCAAUUCUCUCCCUCAGUGCCCUCAUGUGUAUAAAUUGCAUAUCAUAUGGCAUUUUUUUCAUGUCUGUAAGACUCCCAAUUUCCCAAAGG